UUUUUUUUUUUUUUUUUUUUUUUUUUUUUUGAAAAGUCUCUGGCAACAUGUCUCAAACUUUUGAAUACCACAAGAAUAUAAGCUCCAUAGAUAAGGGCUAUUUACAUAAUGCUUAGAACUGUGCCUUAGCAUUUAUGAGAUGGUUAAUUUUAUAUGUUAACUUGGCUAAGCCACGGUACUUAAAUAAAUGAUCAAAUAUCAUUCCAGAUGUUUCUGCAAAAGCAUUUUAAACAUGAGAUUAACUUUUUAAAAAGCAGACUUUGAUUAAACCAAAUUGGCCUCCAUAAUGUGGGUGGGCCUUAUCCAAUUAUUUGAAGGUCUAGUAGAAAAAGACUGACCUCACCAAGCAAGAAGUAAUUCUGUCAGCAGAUUGUAUUUGGACUUGAACUAUGACUCCUCUCUGGGUCUCUAGCUUGCUGGCCUACCACACAGAUUUUAGAUUUGUCACGUUUCCGCAAUCAUGUGUGAGCCAAUUCCUUAAAACCAAUCAAUCUCUAGAUAGAUAGGCAGAUAGACAGACAGGCAUAGAUAGAUACAGAUAUAGAUUAUUCCCCCCCCAUAUAUACACAUACACACAUCACUACACUAUCUAUAUAGUAGAAUGAACUAGUACUACAGGAGCAGUGUAAAUAUAUUUCUUCAGUAAAUGUGUUUUGUAUAUGUUCAAAUUUUGAUUUCAAAAUUACCAUUAAAAAUUUUAUUGGACAAACUCCGUAAUCUAGAAGUAAUAUUUAACUGUUCAGACUCUUGCUACUAUUUUUUCCGAUGACCUACCUAGGUGGCAUCCAACCUCCUGUGGAGAGAGGCAAACAGCAAUAGCUUUAUUUUCAAUUUCACCAACAUACCACUCUGUUUUUGUCCCCACUCCACCCUGAAAUUGCCAGAGUUUAACCAACUGCCAAAAUCAAAUCUCUAGAAGAAUUUUUGUGUCCAUAAAGAAGUAUUUUCCCCCUAAAAUUCCACUUUCUGGAAAAUAGUAGUUGCUAAUGACUUGAAUUAUCUUGAUCUGCUGGAUCAUAAAUAGCCAAUCCUUGCCACCAAUAAUCAUUUUUCAUCAAGUCCCUGUUAGAAAUAUAAUACAUAUCUCAGGGUUUUUCUGUGUCUUCCAAAAUCAACUUUCACACACACACACACACACACACACACACACACACACACACACACACACACACUUAUGUAUAAAGUGCUGAUACAUGGAAUUGCAUUUUGUUGACUUAUCGGAAAAGAACAGCAAUGAAAGCAAGGCCACAACGGUCUCUUGACUGGGCUGAGUUGAGAUUUAUUUCUAGGAGGCCAUCUCUGGAAUGAAAAUGUAUUUCUAGUUUGUACUGGUCUUGCCAGACCUUAUUCUCCCAACUUGUUUUUCCUUAACCUAAAGAAUGACCUAAAUUCCCUUUUUUAAAAAAUAUUCUACCUCUUGCUUGCCAUCCCAACACAUGUAAACUACCAGAAAAUUUGACUACUAGCUUACUAGCCCUCUCAUUCCACCCCUUAAAUGUUUUGACUUACUCUAAGGCAUGUAUAUUACAGAACCUUCUGGAUAUAGCAAACCCUCAUUUAAUGACUUCUAACUAUACUUCUGACUCAGUCUAAAGAUGUAAAUUGAUUGAGGGCAAUGAAGACUUUUGAGACAGAGUAAAUAAAUGUAUUAAGGAUGCAUGAGAUACAAGUAAUAUAAAUAUAGCCCUCCAACAUGGGUAAAAAGACCAGUGGUGGUUUCUUUGGCACCCUCUCUUAGUCUCACCUCAUCUUCCACUGCUACUGCCCAACUUGGGCUUUCUUUCCCAGCAUAAUCAAUCUAGGCCAUUUAAAUUUACUAUUAAAAUAUAACUCUCCUUGGAGUUUCCUGGUGGCCUGGUUAAGGAUCCAGCUUUGUCACUACUGUGGCUCGGGUUUGAUCCCUGGCCCUGGGAUUUCUUCAUGUUGAGGGUGCAGCCAAAAUAUAUAAUGUAUCCUUCAUUCCAUGGAUCCCAGAUACAAAGUUAAGACAUUGUGGGUGACAGUGGGUUAAUAUAUUGACACUGGUAGAUGUCAAUUGGCACAGUUUUCUGGAGGUGAUGUCUUAACUUGAACAAUGGAAUCUAAUAAAUGAGAUUUCAGUUGUUGACUGAUCAACAGAAGAACUAUUUGGGAUAAGAGUGGCUUUUGGAGCCUUUAAAUCAAACCAAUUAGGAAACUGCCUUAAACAGGAGUCCACUGAAAGCAUGAUUUCUUAAGAUGGUGGACAAAGAAUCUAAAAAGUUCAAAAUAGGGAAAAGAAGAGAUAUUGUAAUAUUAAUAUGAGUUUUAGGUAAGAAUUUUAUCAUUUAAUGUAAUUAUUUUACUUCCCAUGUAUUAAAAAUAUUGGCUCUGGGAGUUCCCUUUGUGGCUCAGUGGGUUAUGAACCUGACUAGAAUCCAUGAAGAUUCAGGUUCGAUCCCUGGCCUUGUUCAGUGGGUUAGGGAUCUAGCAUUGCCAUGAGCUGUGGUGUAGUUCACAGAUGCAGCUUGAAUCCCAAGGUGCUGUGCCACGUAGGCCAACAGCUGCAGCUCCAAUUUGUUCCUAGCCUGGGAACUUCCAUAUGCUGCUGCAGGUGUGGCCCUAAAAACAAAAAGAAAGGAAGGAAGGAAGGAAGGAAGGGAAAGGAAAGAAAAGGAAGGAAAGGAAAAGAAAAGAAAGAAAGGAAGAAAGGAGGGAGGGAGGGAAGGAAGGAAGGAAACACUGGCUCCUGAAGUUAUUCAUAACAAAAUGAGUCUGUGAGACAUGACCUCUGAUAGUGGGAUUGAGGUUUUCCAAAUACAGCUUCCAUGGAAAAAAAGAGGAGGAACAAUUUAAUUAUAUUCUUAUGUGAAAUGGACAAGUUACCCUCCAAGAUAAAAAAGAAAGAAAGGAAGGAGGGAGGGAGGGAGGGAAAGAAGGAAGGAAGAAAAUUAUAACUUAGAAACUAAAGCUGUUGAAUGUCUUGUAAAAUCAGACAGCAUUAUCCACGUGAAGGAUUACACAAUAAAAGAGAAGUAAAAUUAGGUAAAAUGUUGCAUUUGCAGAGAUGAAAUAGAACUUUUUCCAAGGGAAGUUAAUAAACGUGAGAUUAGAUAUCAAAGAAAUUCCUGAGUUUGGGGAGAAGAAAUAUAUGAAACAGAUUUGUUUGGGGAGUUGCUGUGUAAGCCUCCGAUGUUGGGCUAAGUGAAAGAAGAAGUUGUUGGAUCUUGAGUUUAAUUUUUUAAUUUUUUUACUGAGUAGAAAUGAGCUCACAUAAAUAGCAUUUCCUCUUUUGUAUUUUGCCUAAGCUAUUCUUCUAAAUUGUAAUAUUUAGCCAUGCCAAUUCCCAGAGAUUCUCAUAUUUCUGUCUCAGCACUGCUCAUGAAAUAAACAAAAUUCUUAUAAAAUGGAGCUACAUCUUAAAUAGAUUUAUGUGAUUAGUAAAAACAUAGUAUAGGAAAGGACACAGCACAGGGAGCCAAGGAGAUCUGCCCAGCUCUUCUGCUGGCUAUCUGACAGUGACCUCCCUGUGCCUAGGUUUUCUCACCAGUGAAACAAGAGGGAUGGAAUUAACAACCUCUUACAGUUAUAUUCCAGCAAGGAGAAUCUGACUUUGUUAUGUAAAAGUAGCCUGAUCAAGAAUAACAAUCUUAAUAGCGGUGAGUCAUGUACCACGGAGUCACUUUUCAACAACUUUGAAAAUCCUGUGUCUUG
rnacentral:lncRNA from 1 species